rnacentral:rRNA from 1 species
UACGGGGGGGGCAAGCGUUGUUCGGAAUUACUGGGCGUAAAGGGCUCGUAGGCGGCCAACUAAGUCAGACGUGAAAUCCCUCGGCUUAACCGGGGAACUGCGUCUGAUACUGGAUGGCUUGAGGUUGGGAGAGGGAUGCGGAAUUCCAGGUGUAGCGGUGAAAUGCGUAGAGAUCAGCAGGAACACCCGUGGCGAAGGCGGCCCCCUGGGCCGUACCUGACGCUGAGGCGCGAAGGCUAGGGGAGCGAACGGG